rnacentral:rRNA from 1 species
UAACAAGGUCUCCGUUGGUGAACCAGCGGAGGGAUCAUUACUGAGUUUACGCUCUACAACCCUUUGUGAACAUACCUACAACUGUUGCUUCGGCGGGUAGGGUCUCCGCGACCCUCCCGGCCUCCCGCCUCCGGGCGGGUCGGCGCCCGCCGGAGGAUAACCAAACUCUGAUUUAACGACGUUUCUUCUGAGUGGUACAAGCAAAUAAUCAAAACUUUUAACAACGGAUCUCUUGGUUCUGGCAUCGAUGAAGAACGCAGCGAAAUGCGAUAAGUAAUGUGAAUUGCAGAAUUCAGUGAAUCAUCGAAUCUUUGAACGCACAUUGCGCCCGCCAGCAUUCUGGCGGGCAUGCCUGUUCGAGCGUCAUUUCAACCCUCAAGCUCUGCUUGGUGUUGGGGCCCUACAGCCGAUGUAGGCCCUCAAAGGUAGUGGCGGACCCUCCCGGAGCCUCCUUUGCGUAGUAACUUUACGUCUCGCACUGGGAUCCGGAGGGACUCUUGCCGUAAAACCCCCCAAUUUUCCAAAGGUUGACCUCGGAUCAGGUAGGAAUACCCGCUGAACUUAAGCAUAUC